rnacentral:rRNA from 1 species
CCUGGCGGCCAUAGCGCCGUGGAACCACCUGAACCCAUGCCGAACUCAGAAGUGAAACGCGGUAGCGCCGAUGGUAGUGUGGCAUUCGCCCUGCGAGAGUAGGUCAGCUGGUAUCG